rnacentral:rRNA from 1 species
CACGUAGGGGGCGAGCGUUGUCCGGAUUUAUUGGGCGUAAAGAGCUCGUAGGCGGCUCAGUAAGUCGGGUGUGAAAACUCCAGGCUCAACCUGGAGACGCCACCUGAUACUGCUGUGGCUAGAGUCCGGUAGGGGAGCAUGGAAUUCCUGGUGUAGCGGUGAAAUGCGCAGAUAUCAGGAGGAACACCAGUGGCGAAGGCGGUGCUCUGGGCCGGAACUGACGCUGAGGAGCGAAAGCGUGGGAGCAAACGGG